AUUGAACGCUGGCGGCAGGCUUAACACAUGCAAGUCGAGCGGGGAAGGGUAGCUUGCUACCUAACCUAGCGGCGGACGGGUGAGUAAUGCUUAGGAAUCUGCCUAUUAGUGGGGGACAACAUUUCGAAAGGGAUGCUAAUACCGCAUACGCCCUAAGGGGGAAAGCAGGGGAUCUUCGGACCUUGCGCUAAUAGAUGCGCCUAAGUCGGAUUAGCUAGUUGGUGGGGUAAAGGCCUACCAAGGCGACGAUCUGUAGCGGGUCUGAGAGGAUGAUCCGCCACACUGGGACUGAGACACGGCCCAGACUCCUACGGGAGGCAGCAGUGGGGAAUAUUGGACAAUGGGGGGAACCCUGAUCCAGCCAUGCCGCGUGUGUGAAGAAGGCCUUUUGGUUGUAAAGCACUUUAAGCGAGGAGGAGGCUACCGAGAUUAAUACUCUUGGAUAGUGGACGUUACUCGCAGAAUAAGCACCGGCUAACUCUGUGCCAGCCGCCGCCGUAACAC
rnacentral:rRNA from 1 species